rnacentral:misc_RNA from 1 species
UGGAAGACAGGUUGACAUGUUCAACCAUUGAAUUUGUCAGUUUAUUUUGACAUUUGAUGAUUUAAGUAUAACAAUUUAACAACUACCAAACUAGUUUUAUAUAUGCACAAUUCCCUUUUUCUGGAUUAGGGGGUUUUUUAUUGCUCAUAUGCGUCAUCCCCCCAGACGUGCAGUUUUUUUAUGGGAACAAGAAACCUUGCUUCUUUCUUUCUUGUGAAUGCCAAUUGGUUCUUGCUUUCCAAUCUUUUUCAACUCCUUAAUUUCUUGAUUUGGUGAAUGCAGGAGAUGCCAUAUCUUUCAAUUUGAGGAAAAAGGAUACUUGAUAUGACUGAUUUCUGCAAACAAACAAACAAUGUGUGAAUGCAAAUCGUCUCCUGAAGCAUCAAGAUUGCCAAUGUCCUCAAAUGUACAAGUUCUUGAAGUGAACCUCGAAAAGAAUGAGAUAUUCAAGAUUGAUUCAUGAGGAGGGAAAUUGCACAUCAUAAAAAAUGUUCCAGUUUAUAAGAGAAUUGAACAUGAUUUAUGCCGAUGAAAAGCCAGGCAUUGAGUCCAUUGGCGGGCGUUCGAACUUGAAUGAUUUCCCUGUUUACAAGUCUUUCGAAUUCAUUGAUAACUCUAAGGAGCUGAAAGGAUUCAUUCAGAAUAACAGUAUUAAAUUAAAAACUAACAGAAAGAAGGGGCAUGGAGUGCUCAGGAAUCGAAAUGGAUCUGAUGGUUUCAGGUCUUCGGACGAUUCAUCAAAUGGAACACGAUAUGCUAUGAGUUCCUCCAGUGAAUCAGAAGGAAGCAAAGGAAGGAAGAAGGUUUAUUUAAAAAGAGAUCUGCAGGACUAUGACAGUCCAGAGAUGGUUGCCUUCUUGGAUGAUAGCAGUUAUGACCUGUUCAAGGAUAUUUUGACAGACAAGGAAUCACUUUGCCAGGAUGAAGUUUUGACAGAAAAUUAUGAAUUGGGCCAUUAUAACUUCUCUUCCAUACUUAACUCUGACUCAGAAAGUAGCGACUCAACCAAAGAAACUCUGGAAAGGUUGUCAUGCAUUGCAAAUGAAUUGAAAUUCAUAGCAGAAGAUGACUGCAAAAAUGAGCGACAUAAUUCCAAAAGGUUCCUGACGGAAGAAGAAGAAAAAGAAGAAGAUGAUGAUGAUGAUUUCAAUGAACGGGAUGAUGUUUUGAUUGAUCAUCAUGCUAAAACGAUUGUACACGUAAUUCACCUCUCCGAAGAGGUAAAAGAUGACGACUGCAAAAAUGAGCAACAUGGUUACAGAAGGUUGAUAAUGGAAGAUGAAGAAGAUUUAGAAGGAAGACCUGUGAUUUCAAUUGAUAAUUCUGUUGAAAAGAUUGCACGAGCAAUUCAGUUAAUCAAAGGGGUUCAAAGGGAGGGGGAAGGAGCAUUGUCCAAACCUUUGUUAUCUUCCAUAACUGCAGCAGAGUGUAGCUGCCCAACAAGCGAUGCCGGCAUCCAAAGUGAGACAUCCAUGCAAGGUGCAGCAGAAAUUUGUGAACAGGUUCUUGAAACUGAAAGUAUGUCCUCAGGCCCCGAAAGCCUAAGAAUUUCAAGUGACGGAGAAUCUUUAGGCAGUUCCAAUGACGCUGAUCGUCCCUCAGGCCGGAUAGAACACUCAGGGGGUAGCAUCUCUCUUCCUUCAAGCAACAGCACUGCCAGCGCACAUUCUUUUGCUUUCCCCAUAUUGGCCACAGAAUGGCCUGCGAGCCCUGUAAGAAUUAAAGGAACUGGUGAAAUACGAUGGCCGGCAAGUACUGAUCCCCGGAGACAACUGCAUAGGCCCCGACGUUGGAAAGCGCUUCUUUGCUGUAAAUUCGUAAAAUGAGUUAGAAUUUUUCCCUCUUAUUUUGAGCGUUGGAGUUGUUAAGUAUAAUGCAAAGAAGUCAGGUUCUCUUUUCCAUUUUCCAUGCAUUAUCUUUCUCAGCAUCGUAGCAGAGAUGAGUCUUUCAUAGCAGCUUAAGCUUGAUUUCUCCUGAUGGAAACUAAGAUGUUCCCCUUGCUUGGCUUAAUUAUAUAUAAUUGAUGCAAUCUUACUCUGGG